GAAGAUGUGUGUGGAAAUUCUUCAUCAAAAAACGACGUGAAGUCAUUACUGGCCGAAGCGGUUUUUCUGAGCGGUAGGGCGGUAGGCUGACGUAUAUAAAACAGGAGUAAACAUCCAGCAUCUCUUCAUUGCAGUAGUAUACUUGUUCGCGAUUAGGCAGAAAGAAACCGAUUUUGCAUCGAGACUCAUUUUGACACAAUUAUUAAUUCGCAAAAUUGUAUUGUUUCAUCAUUUUUUUAAUCGUGCACAAUGGAAGAAAGAAUACGUAUUACAAUCUACUAUUGAGAACAUAUUGAAGUGUCUAAGAAAAAUGUCACAUCGUGUGCUGUGGCUCAGAAAGUGUGAAAUUUGAAAGUCAUAGUAAAAGAAAACGCGUCGAAUCAGUGACACAACGCAUCUCAUUAUAUGGUCUUUCGAUCAUUACGGGAAGAUUAUUAAACAAUCAAAAUUUCCAGGAGAUGUAAUUAAAAUGAAGCUAAUCUUUCUACUGUUGUUAUUGGUCAGUUCCUCUUUUUGCAUACCUUGGCUUAACUUAUGGUUUCCCCGACAAUCUUCAUAUGAUAAUCGAAAUAUCGGAUCUGCGAACGAACAAGAUGGUCCUUAUCGGCAAUAUCGUCAAGGCAGAGGCGGUAAAGAACGUUGGAAGCAGAUCUGCAGAACGAUAAAUCCCGAUUCGUAUGCAUUCCCAGGACGCGUACCUUAUCCUGCCGCACCUGUAUGUCCCUGGUAAAAGAAACUUCCGGUCAACCCUCAUAUCUGUGCCAAACGCAAACAAGAACUCGUAUCAUGCGUUAAAAAUAUGAAUUUAUUGUAACAAUCUAUAGCUUCAGACAUUAUACAUCCACUGAUUAUGAGUAUUUCAGUCGGUAUGUUUAUGUGUGUGUCCAUAUGUGUGAUAAUAUUAGCAAAGGAAUAUACAUAAAUAUUCGCGCGAUAACACAUAGCUAUUUACUGUAACGCGUGUAAAUGAAGCAAGAAAUAAUUGUUUACCUGUCGCACACGACAAGCCUUUUGUACACGAAUUUUAUUAUUGUUUUAGUCUCGUUUUUUGGUCCGUGCCUUGUGUCGGAUUUAAAAAAAAGUAAACAAA